CCGCCCUCCAACUCUGCUCCCUGGAACUAGGCCAUGAAUCCCCGAGCUUGGUUUGCUUUCACAGUGGGAUGGGUGACCAUAUGACCUGAGUACGUAUCUACCAUUGCUUCUGUACCAUUCAACUUUGUGGAAGAUGUCCUUUCACUCCAUACAUGCAACCCUUCAUUCUCAAGAUUCUGGUGUGAAUUGCAUUAUUAAAGUGGAU